UGGGGAAUAUUGGACAAUGGGCGAAAGCCUGAUCCAGCCAUGCCGCGUGUGUGAAGAAGGUCUUCGGAUUGUAAAGCACUUUAAGUUGGGAGGAAGGGCAGUAAAUUAAUACUUUGCUGUUUUGACGUUACCGACAGAAUAAGCACCGGCUAACUCUGUGCCAGCAGCCGCGGUAAUACAGAGGGUGCAAGCGUUAAUCGGAAUUACUGGGCGUAAAGCGCGCGUAGGUGGUUCGUUAAGUUGGAUGUGAAAUCCCCGGGCUCAACCUGGGAACUGCAUUCAAAACUGACGAGCUAGAGUAUGGUAGAGGGUGGUGGAAUUUCCUGUGUAGCGGUGAAAUGCGUAGAUAUAGGAAGGAACACCAGUGGCGAAGGCGACCACCUGGACUGAUACUGACACUGAGGUGCGAAAGCGUGGGGAGCAAAAGCAGGA
rnacentral:rRNA from 1 species